AGAGUUUGAUCCUGGCUCAGGAUGAACGCUAGCGGCAGGCCUCAUACAUGCAAGUCGAGGGGCAACAGGACACUUCGGUGUUGCUGGCGACCGGCGCACGGGUGCGUAACACGUAUGCAAUCUACCUUGUACUGGAGAAUAGCUCUCGGAAACGAGAAUUAAUACUCCAUAUUAUCUCAUUAGCACAUGCUAGCGAGAUGAAAGCUCCGGCGGUACAAGAUGAGCAUGCGCCCCAUUAGCUAGUUGGUGAGGUAACGGCUCACCAAGGCGACGAUGGGUAGGGGUUCUGAGAGGAAGAUCCCCCACACUGGCACUGAGAUACGGGCCAGACUCCUACGGGAGGCAGCAGUAGGGAAUAUUGGUCAAUGGGCGCAAGCCUGAACCAGCCAUGCCGCGUGCAGGAUGAAGGCCCUCAGGGUUGUAAACUGCUUUUAUAUGGAAAUAAAAAAACCCUUGCGAGGGUUCUUGAAGGUACCAUAAGAAUAAGCACCGGCUAACUCCGUGCCAGCAGCCGCGGUAAUACGGAGGGUGCAAGCGUUAUCCGGAUUUACUGGGUUUAAAGGGUGCGUAGGCGGCUCUUUAAGUCAGUGGUGAAAGCCUAGUGCUUAACACUAGAAAUGCCAUUGAAACUGAAGAGCUUGAGUCAAGGAGAGGUAAGCAGAAUUUAUGGUAGCAGUGAAAUGCUUAGAUACCAUAAGGAAUACCAACAGCGAAGGCAGCUUACUGGCCUUGUACUGACGCUGAGGCACGAAAGCGUGGGGAGCAAACAGGAUUAGAUACCCUAGUAGUCC
rnacentral:rRNA from 1 species